rnacentral:misc_RNA from 1 species
CCGGGGCUUUCCCAGCACGACAAGACAGCAUCUUUUCAUCCUGCUCCCAUAAACGGACCCCGCGGCCGCUCCUCUUGAGCAAUGCGCGUCGGGUACAUUGGUCUGGGGCUCAUGGGCAAGCCCAUGGCCGUCAACAUCCUCAAGGCGGGCUUUCCUGUGAGUGUGUGGAACCGCACAGCCUCCAAGUGCGACGACCUCGUCGCGGCUGGCGCCACGGCGUGCGCGACGCCGGCGGAGUUGGCGGCGGCCUCUGAUGUCGUCUUCACAAACCUCUCGGACUCCCCUGACGUGAUGGAGAUCGUGUUCGGCCCCAACGGCGUGGCAGCCGGCAUUCGUGAAGGGGCCAUCUUUGUGGACAACAGCACCAUCAAGCCCUCUGUCGCGCAGGAGAUCGCACGACGGCUGUGGAAGGAGAAAAAAGUGCGUGCACUGGACGCACCGGUCUCUGGCGGCGACAUCGGAGCGCGCAACGGCACCUUGACCGUCAUGGUCGGCGGCGACGCUGCUGCGCUUGAGACUGUUUUGCCUGUGCUGCUCGCAGUGGGUAAGAAGGUGACCCGCAUUGGCGACUGCGGGGCGGGGCAGGUGUGCAAGGCGGCGAACCAGAUCAUGGUGGCUGCCCAGAUGGUCGCGCUCGGCGAAAUCCUUGUCUUCUCUGAGAAGUGCGGCGUGUCAGGGCCGACAGUUAUCGAGGCGAUCAAGAGUGGUUCGGCGCAGUGCUGGACCCUCGAUGUGAAGCCGGAUCGCCUCUUCGCUGGCAACCGCGAGCCCGGCUUUAAGGCUGCCCUGCAGAGCAAGGACAUGGGCAUUGUGAUGGACUCGGCCAAGGAGUUCGGCGUGCCGCUGCCCUCCACCGCUGUCAACACGCAGCUCUUCCAGGCGAUGAUUCAGAACGGCGACGGCGACCAAGACAACUCCGCUGUCGUCAGCGUGCUCGAGCGCAUGGCCAACGUCCACAUCUCGGAGGUGAAGAAGGAAUAGUGCAUAUGCACGGGCACUUGUGGACGCUGUCCACUGGCGCGCAGUGAAGUGCAGAUGGAACGGCGGCCGCGUGUGUGGCGUACCACCCCUGAGGGAGAUGAGGAGUACUUAGGGAGGGGGAGUGGAGUGCGAUGAGUGCGUGGCUGCUGAGGAGUAGCACAUCAGCCGCUGUACCUCUUCUCCGGUUGUUGCCUGCGGGCCCCUCUCGCGUUCGCAGUCUGUCUGCCUCCCUAUUUUCACUUUAUGUGAGUGCCUUGGCUGUAUCAACAUUGACACCACCACCGCCACCCUUCCCGCACCCGCAUGCAACGUCAUGGCGUGCAAGUAUGUCGGACGCGCUCUACGUGUGUCUCUCAGUCGACACGCGUGCAUGCGUGCGCAGGCGCUGGGGCGCACGACAACUGCAAGACAGACGCCGCGACAACGGCGCUGGGUAGCGGCGCGAGUGACCUCGCGGGCAGUCCUGGCGCACACUUUCUGGAGUGAAGGCUGCCUUUGGCAUCAGGCGAACAGGCACCCAUGAAGCACUCACACACACGCCCACUUCGAGGUGCUUUCGUGUUGCGCUGCUGACGAUGGCCGCGCCCGUCAUGGCAAACUGCCGAACCAAUGCCGCGACGUCGACUGCUCCAGACACGGUGCUCUCGCUCUCUCUUCAUAUUUCUCUUGCUCGCCGUCUCACAAG